rnacentral:rRNA from 1 species
GAUGAACGCUGGCGGCGUGCCUAAUACAUGCAAGUCGAGCGAACAGACGAGGAGCUUGCUCCUCUGACGUUAGCGGCGGACGGGUGAGUAACACGUGGAUAACCUACCUAUAAGACUGGGAUAACUUCGGGAAACCGGAGCUAAUACCGGAUAAUAUAUUGAACCGCAUGGUUCAAUAGUGAAAGACGGUUUUGCUGUCACUUAUAGAUGGAUCCGCGCCGCAUUAGCUAGUUGGUAAGGUAACGGCUUACCAAGGCGACUAUGCGUAGCCGACCUGAGAGGGUGAUCGGCCACACUGGAACUGAGCCACGGUCCAGACUCCUGCGGGAGGCAGCAGUAGGGAAUCUUCCGCAAUGGGCGAAAGCCUGACGGAGCAACGCCGCGUGAGUGAUGAAGGUCUUCGGAUCGUAAAACUCUGUUAUUAGGGAAGAACAAAUGUGUAAGUAACUAUGCACGUCUUGACGGUACCUAAUCAGAAAGCCACGGCUAACUACGUG